rnacentral:rRNA from 1 species
CAGGAUGAACGCUAGCGGCAGGCUUAACACAUGCAAGUCGAGGGGCAACGGGAUGUAGCAAUACAUUGCCGGCGACCGGCGGAUGGGUGCGUAACGCGUAUGCAACCUACCUUAGUACAGGGGAAUAACCUUUCGAAAGGGAGACUAACACCCCAUGGUAUUGAUUUAAGGCAUCUUAGAUUAAUUAAAUAUUUAUAGGUAUAAGAUGGGCAUGCGUAUGAUUAGCUAGUUGGUAAGGUAACGGCUUACCAAGGCGACGAUCAUUAGGGGUUCUGAGAGGAAGGUCCCCCACACUGGUACUGAGACACGGACCAGACUCCUACGGGAGGCAGCAGUGAGGAAUAUUGGUCAAUGGGCGCAAGCCUGAACCAGCCAUGCCGCGUGCAAGGAAGACGGCCUUAUGGGUUGUAAACUGCUUUACAUAAGACUAACCGUAUAUUUGCGAAUAUACCUGAAUGUAUUAUGAGAAUAAGGAUCGGCUAACUCCGUGCCAGCCGCCGC